rnacentral:siRNA from 1 species
UCAAUAGAUGUCGUUCGAAGAA